CGGGGAACUGAAACAUCUAAGUACCCGGAGGAAGAGAAAACAACAGUGAUUCCGCAAGUAGUGGCGAGCGAACGUGGAAGAGCCCAAACCGUAUCUGUUACGGCAGGUGCGGGGUUAUAGGACUGCAUAAUGGUUUUAUUUAAGCGAUUGGAAUGGUUUGGGAAAGCCAUCCACAGAGGGUGAGAGACCCGUACGAUUGAGUAAAUAUUACCUGGCAGUAUCCUGAGUAGGGCGGGACCGGAGAAAUCCCGUCUGAAUUUGCCGGCACCAUCCGGUAAGGCUAAAUACAUCUGCAUGACCGAUAGUGAACCAGUACCGUGAGGGAAAGGUGA
rnacentral:rRNA from 1 species